rnacentral:tRNA from 1 species
AAUAAUAUAGUCUAUUUAGGACAGAAGAUUUAUGCUCUUCAGGUACACGUAGUGUUUUUAUUA